rnacentral:rRNA from 1 species
AGUGAACGCUGGCGGCGUGCUUAACACAUGCAAGUCGAACGGAUCAAAGUAGCUUGCUACUUUGGUUAGUGGCGCACGGGUGAGUAAUGUAUAGCUAACCUGCCCUUUAGUGGGGGACAACAGUUGGAAACGACUGCUAAUACCCCAUACUCCUUCUUAUCAUAAGGUGAGUUGGGAAAGAUUUAUUGCUAAAGGAUGGGGCUUUAUGGUAUCAGCUAGUUGGUGGGGUAACGGCCUACCAAGGCUAUGACGCCUACCUGGUCUGAGAGGAUGAUCAGGCACACUGGAACUGAGACACGGUCCAGACUCCUACGGGAGGCAGCAGUGGGGGAAUAUUGCACAAUGGAGGAAACUCUGAUGCAGCAACGCCGCGUGGAGGAUGACGCAUUUCGGUGUGUAAACUCCUUUUAUAAGGGAAGAUAAUGACGGUACCUUAUGAAUAAGCACCGGCUAACUCCGUGCCAGCAGCCGCGGUAAAGUCUAGC